UAAACGACUCUCGGCAACGGAUAUCUCGGCUCAUGCAUCGAUGAAGAACGUAGCAAAAUGCGAUACUUGGUGUGAAUUGCAGAAUCCCGUGAACCAUCGAGUUUUUGAACGCAAGUUGCGCCCAAAGCCUUUUGGCUGAGGGCACGUCUGCCUGGGCGUCACAC
rnacentral:rRNA from 1 species